UCAAAAUGGCCAUGAAAGGUAAAUAUUCUGCAUCAGUCUAGCACAUCAAGACAAGUACAACAAUAGAACUGAAGACACUCAGGAUAGAGAUUUCCAGAAUGGUUUCAGAAAAUGAGAAGGGCAAUAGGCUCCUACCAGACGAUAGCUCCAUACAUCAUUUUACUAGAAGAGCCUGAUGCCUACAGAAUUAUAACAACAACAGACACUUUUAUGGAAUUUACAGAAAAUCAGUGGACAACCUUUUCCAUUGUACAUGAUUUUCCAGCCAGGAAAGGAUGGACUAGAUUAUCUGAAUUUCUGCGUUUCACAAGGAAAGAAAAAAUCUUGCCUAGCUGAGCGUGACAGUAUCCCCAUCUGUGAGGAACUGCUCUGGAAGCACUGAUUUUUGUAGUUUUGCCCCCUUUGACAUCUGGAAAAUCUCAGAUGAGUGAAAUGAAGAAAAGAAAAACAGAGUAAAAUCCAGUACUUCUUGGGCUGAGGAUUCCUACGCACCCCAAAUAGAUAUGUGCAUAUAGACCUUUAUAGACGUGUCACCUACAUUUCUGUAAGUUCCAGCUAUGAAGAGAGUAAAUGCACGGAAUUAGCUCCUGUAUCUGCUCAUCCUGUUCAAACUACUGCCUUCCCAUUUGCUCAGUUUGGAUCAUCACCUCAAAAGAACUUUGGCAAAUAAAGUACCCAGCCCCUUCCUCUCCUGUCUGCGGUCGCAAAGCCCUUAGUUUAUGAGGCCAUCCUAAAGCAAUCAGUGUCAGAUGGCUGGUGAAUGGGCACUGCCCCUGAUCUACGGCUUGGGAGAGAGCAGUCAUCACACCUCAGCCAGUACCGGACUCCCCCCACUUUGUCAUCAGGUGAUGCAGGGGAGAGGGAGAGUGAUUAAGCACCUGCACUUCAGAAGCAAUGACUCUGCCCAGGCAACACCUUCCCUGUGACCCUCUCCCACUGUAAGGACACCACGGGUGUGGGCCCAGCAGCCCUGCAGGGAGCACAUUUAAUUCACUGCCUGCCCUUCUUUGCCCACCUUCAGGGAAACGAUUCCACCCACACUGUGAAAGGCACCGUCAAAGGCACAGUUUUACCCUCCCACCCAGCACUCUGUUUCACAGCCUGGUCAUACUUCCUGUCAAUCAACAUGCUUCUGACUCAAAAUCAGGAGUUUGAGAUGAAAUACAAACAGCAGCUUCCACUGGCAGCAGUUGCUUUGGGCCGCACUUUUUCCGAGCUCUGAAUGUGAAAAAAAAAUCCUAAAAUAAUCAGAACAGCAAGCACCACUGUGUCUGAGGAACUUUGAAUACUGUUUCUUCACGAAAACCAUGUACAGAUGAAGAAAUGGAUGUGGAUAAAAGAGCAUGUGGGGGUCCUUUAUUAGCGGAAUGGGAAGGGACAGCUGCAGAGCACAGAAUUAAAUACCCCUCCGUGUCUCAAGUUUUCACCUGACAGCAUUUCAACUUGAUGGGAAAGAAAGACCUUUAGGUAGCCUUUAACAUUAUCACUAAAAUUGGUAAAUAGCAGCAUGUUGGUGAAGAGUCGAUGCUCUGAAUUUCAAUUCAAAGAACCCUACCAUUAAGGAGCUUCAGGGUUUUUAAAAGAUGCAUUGAAUAGUACAGUCUAUUUUAAAAUCAGCAAAGCAAAUGCUCUGAUUUUUCUCUGCAUCCUUCUUGUCUUUGGUCAUCACUAUAAUCAUUAAGAGAGAUUAUUUUCACUGGGGACUUUCAGCAGCUAAACUAUGAGCAAACACUAGUAGAAGUUACGAGGUUUCCCAGCACACCUGGAUGGCUUAGCCCAUGAUCACCUUCCACAUCUGCAUUAAUGUAAACUUGCAAUAAGAAAAUAUACUUUAUUAUUGUCAUAGUAUAAAGAAGGAGCCGUAAAUUCUAUGGAAAGUUUGGCCAUCUACCCAGAUUUGUGAAGGUGAGUAGGGAUGGAGGUAGGAUGGCAAGA